rnacentral:misc_RNA from 2 species
AACGCACCUUGCGCCCUUUGGCUAUUCCGAAGGGCAUGCCUGUUUGAGUAUCAUGAACACCUCAACUCUCAUGGCUUGCCAUGAUGAGCUUGGACUUUGGGGGUCUUGCUGGCCUGGGGUCAGCUCCUCUCAAAUGAAUUAGCUUGCCAGUGUUUGGUGUGGUAUCAUGGGUGUGAUAACUAUCUACGCUUGUGGUUUUCCACCAGGUAACCUUCUGCGACGAAGGUUCGCUGGGGCUCAUAAAUGUCUCUCCUCGGUGAGGACAGCUUUUUGAACGUUUGAUCUCAAAUCAGGUAGGACUACCCGCUGAACUUAA